GAUGAACGCUAGCUACAGGCUUAACACAUGCAAGUCGAGGGGAAACGAUGAGAGAGCUUGCUCUCUUAGUCGUCGACCGGCGCACGGGUGAGUAACGCGUAUCCAACCUGCCUCUGACCAAGGGAUAACCCGUCGAAAGUCGGACUAAUACCUUAUGCAGUCGUCGGAAGUCAUCUGAUGACGACGAAAGAUUUCAUCGGUGAGAGAUGGGGAUGCGUCUGAUUAGCUUGUUGGCGGGGUAACGGCCCACCAAGGCGACGAUCAGUAGGGGUUCUGGGAGGAAGGUCCCCCACAUUGGAACUGAGACACGGUCCAAACUCCUACGGGAGGCAGCAGUGAGGAAUAUUGGUCAAUGGGCGUAAGCCUGAACCAGCCAAGUAGCGUGCAGGAUGACGGCCCUAUGGGUUGUAAACUGCUUUUAUGCGGGGAUAAAGUGAGGGACGUGUCCUUCAUUGCAGGUACCGCAUGAAUAAGGACCGGCUAAUUCCGUG
rnacentral:rRNA from 1 species